rnacentral:piRNA from 1 species
UGAUGAGGGAAUGCCAGAAAUGGGUC